UUUAUUUAGAGUAUGCAGCUAGAGGUCAGCUUCAUAAAGAGCUACAAAUAUGCAACUACUUCUGCGCAGCAACUGUGAGUCCUAGUGAUAUUGAGUAUUGACCUUACCUGGCCUCUAAAUCUGAGCUUGAACCUCUCUAGUCUUUUCUAUUUACUCUUGUUACAGACUAGUAAGAUUUUGGAUGGUCUGCGCACACGUUCAUGUCUGGCACUCUUGAUUACCUUCCACCUGAGAUGGGUAAGUAAAACCUCUCUACUGUGUUUUUAUAUCAGACACUUCUGCUCCCAGAUUGUCCAAGUGCACCUCAAGUUCCCUUCUAAACUUAUUGUGUCUUCAAUCUUCAUAUGCAAAUGACCUUAUUAGCUAGGUUCCUACUCUCAUACCUCGUAAUCUCUCUUAAAGCUUUUCUGCAUUUGAAGAGUGAAAUCUCUGACUUUUCGCACUUUCUGAUUCAUAUAGAUGUUGGUUAAGGAGUCUAACGUUUG
rnacentral:lncRNA from 1 species